AUGGUAUACCAAGAAUAGUGGUUUGUUAUUUACUGCAUUUUUUUUGCCUGUUGCACAACACUUCCUUGAUUGCCUGUUUUGAAAUCUGUUACCUUUCUUGCACUUUUCUGUGUAUUUGUAGUGUUGUGCCAUUCCACAUAACCAGCUUUUUAUUUUCAUUGUCUGAUAUUUAUCAAAACUCAGAAGUACAUUGCUGCUGAUGUAUGUACACAUUUAUCUGAUGUAUAUACACAUUUAUCUGUCUGUGCAGGGCCUUCAGCGGGCUCCAGGUGGUACUUUCUACGUCUUCAGCCCUGAGAUCCUGCAGAUUGUGAGGGAGACCUACCCUAGCGGCGACGACGUCGCAUGGAUGCUGACGAACCGUAACAACAGGCCUACCAAGGAGGUGGGCGUGGAUGACCUGUUCGAGGACAAGGGCAAGAACUAGGUCACGCCCACCUCCAGGUAGUGCAGUAUACAUGAUACAAAGCAUGUUACAAAGCAAAAUAAAGUUUGGAAACUUGAACUUGUGUAUUCUGUCCUCUUUCAUAGUAUGUACUCAACCAUGUACAAUAGGUGAUAGAGAAAUUUGAGGACGAUUAACGAUACAAUGCCAGUCACUUGAGUUUGUUCCACAAACCUGCUCCCGAUGACUUUACUUCAUGAGAAAGCUCUACAUAAAAAUGAAAAACAUAAGUCCAAUGGAAUAGAUAUGAUAUGGACAGUCAUGUUCCUAGAUAUAACAUAGUGCUAAAUCAAAACAAUCAAUCAUACAUAUGUACAAAAGGGCAUUGAAAAAAUGGAUAUGACAUACACAGUACAAAAAAGAUUGUUAGAGACCUUCGCGAGAAUUGAUUCCAUCAUCAACACCAGGAAGGGCACCGCUGGGCUCGAUGACAACCAGAUACCUCUUUCAGAGACGCGGACGAAGUCGACAAAGUCUGAGCUGCACAGCAAAAACAUCUCGAAUGCAUACAAGAUCCCCCGGACAUGGCGAUGUACUCCAUUACAAAAUACGCAACAAAGAUUGCCCACCAACUUCCUUACUAUAUAACGGUAAGGGGGAGCAACAGUGUGGAGGGGCUUCACAAAUUCCUGCCGGCGAUGAUUCCAGGGCCCCACUGUGCAGCCAUUCGUUCAACGUCUACCUGUUGAGUGGCAUCGCCAGGUGGAACACCAACAGGGAGACCAACUCUGUGCUUGGGAAGAAGGGCCGGAAGAACACCAUCUACACCAACCCUCUCAUCCACAGGUUGAAUCGGUCCAUGAGCUUGGGUUCGAUGCGAGUAUUGCUAAUGCUAUGCCUAUCGUCGCCUUUCACCGGCUUGCAAAGCCAUCACCCAUCAUCAAUAUAUUCUCUAAAGUAAACUUGAUAGCUUUCAAGCAGUUAUCGACGAAAAGUUUGGUGACGGUGGCCCCGUGAUGCUUGCCUAUGACAAUAUAAAUAUUCUCUAGGCUGUCCGUCACAUUAGAGUUCUGAAAGGCAAGGCACACAUGUGGAAUUUCCCAGUGCGGAUGACCAUUAAGCCAAAUUUGGAAGGAAUCGCGGAACUGAUCUCAGCCAAGGAGACUGCAGAGAUGCCCCAGAAACCUGUAGAAGACUUGAGUGCUAAUGAUGUUUUCCUCCACUCCCAUCCAGAUUUGGAACAGGUAUGGGAACAAGCUCAGGAUGACUACUACUUGGACCUGCUUGAUACAGCCAUGAACAAACUCCCCCAAGACAUACGAGACCAGACACAAAACCAAAGCACAGCAGACAUCUUGGCUAUACAAACAAGACCUCAAGAACUCUCAAACCUACACAAUUCGACAAAGAUCUGCAAAUUCUCCAUACUCUAUGGCGCAAAUCUUACGACGGAAAACUUGGUCCAAAGGACAACUGUAUCAAUUUGUCUGCACAUAUGUGCAUAAAGGCACUGUUUAAGCCACAUAAGACUCUACUCACUGGUACAUUAACCUUUUUCUAUGUUAUAUACAUUCAAUUCAGUAUAAUAGUUCUUGCUUUCAAAGCACCAUGUAAUUGAAAAUAAUAGUCUACUUAAAAUGAUUCCUCAAAUAUACGAUUCUUCCACGACACUUCCUCAAAAACAUCUUUGGACUGUAUGUUCGAGUAUCAAAUAGCAAUAUUGUGGUAAUUGAUACACAAUCGGAAAGAGGGUAUAUGUGCAUUAACUUCAUUUUGGAAGAAACAUUGCAGGUUAUGGUUAUCUGAAAAAGCAAAUAAAACAGCUUGGGUCUAUGGUCCUCAAAUUCAAAUUAAGAAAGACUGAUGACCCUUUUUACUUCAAAGAGGACAAAGAGUUAAGAACACCCUGAAGCUGUCCGAGCAGCAAGCGGUAGUGGGGUUGACAGUUUAGAGGCCUGUAACAAGGACACAGGACAACACAAUUCCCUCAACAUCGAGGGGGGCACUUGGUGAUAGUGGGAGGAGGGAUAGUGUCCAUGUUCAAUCCUAUUUACAGGUGUGGCUCUCUAUACCUUUUCGCCUCACACAACAAUACAUUAUACAGUACAUUGUCUGAGUUUUAUUUCAUGCAAUUACACUGAAAAAGCACAAUGAAAAGGUACUUGCGUGUAAGGUCAAAGCAGCUGUUUUGUGACUAUUUUUCAGUGAUUAAGAAGCCUGUAUAUUAGAUCCAUACACAGAAACGGAAAAAACAAAAGUGCCCAGCAAACCUCAAACAACAUGACGGACUGAAGGGAAUGAAGAACUUGCUGGCAGGAAGAUUGCGAAGCUACCGGCAAACAAGGUCUUUGUCAGUCACAUAGUUACUGGUGGGGAUAGACACUUUUCAAGGGGGCUCAAUGCUGUGAUGAUGGAGGCAAGAGGGAAACGUACCAAACAUCUGAGACUUUGUACACACGAGCAGGAGCGUAGCCAAAGCUGUCCGCAAUGGAAAGUGGAGUCGACAAAUGUUCCCUGGUGCAACAGCUGUCAAAAGACACAAGGUUAAGUCUAGAUUUACGGAAGAGCUGCGUGUACGACUCCAUACUGAACAUGACAAUGUUUACUGAAGAUUUCAUUUCAUUUUUCUUUGUUUCUCAGGAAAUACCUUGAGGUUGAGCAUGAACGGAAGACAGGAAAGAAACUGUACACGUACGCGGGAUCAACGAAAAGCCGUUCCUGCCAUUGUUGGCAUGAAUGUCAUUGGGCCAUGUACGAACGAACUUUUUUUGGAAUUCGGGAGAGGUUAUUCCGCAAGGAUAGAAGUAGAUGCGGGGAAACAAUGGCAAAGAGCAUUUAAAACGCACGAAUAUGUCCAACGCACGAAGAUUCUCCAUCAGAUGUGGCAAAGUACAGCGAGUGGUUGAGAAGCAAAGUUCACAGAUUCAGGAAUAAAACAAACCCUGAUAUUUCACUUCAUUCAAAGACUCCAAACAAGCAUUUAACAAGUCAACAGCUCCUGGCCAAGACAGCAGACCUCAAGCGGGCAGAGAAGAACCUACAGAAGACCAUUGCUUCUGUAACAAAGAGAGGUCAAGAAGAAGGAUGCCAUGUAAACGAGCUUCUCUAACAAAGAGUCGUGUCGUGAAAGAAGUCGAGAAAGAAGGAUGCCAUGUAAACGAGCUUCUCUAACAAAGAGUCGUGUCGGGGAAGAAGUGAAGAAGGAAGGAUGCCAUGUGAACGAGCUUCUCUAACAAAAGAGUCGUAUCGGAUAAGAGGUUGUUUUAGACACUUGUCUUUCUGUUAUAUGUAGAACAUGAUGGUGUGACGGUAAGGGAUGCCCUUGUCUUUUCAAAACUGGAUGAGCUCGAGUACGAACCGCCGGGUGGAUGCCCAGUGUGGCAAAUGAUUAAGUUUAACUCGUGUGAAGAGGGAUGCAGCUGUUUCGCCAUGCAUGUUGACACUGAACCUUCCAGAACACAUGAACAGUCGGGCACAAGGGGAAUUCGGUAGCAGGAGUGAAGGUGGAGGGAGAGAGGGCGACAGAAGUGAAGACCGCUCCUCUAUGAGAGAGGAUAUGGCAACGAUUGCCUCCAGAAUAGUGGUAAAUCACAUGCCGUUUUACAACAAAUACUUCGAAGACUGUGUGGAACAUAUCACACAUACAUGUAUUCUAAACAGGCAAAGCUAAAAUCACACAUUAUGCCUUUAGGGAUCCUAGAGAAGAACGAAUCCAAACAUGACGACAUGAUAGCCAUAUUAGAGGAGUACCAAAAGUAUGUGCCACACGGGAUAAAGAUUCCAUUGGAAGGUGAUGGCCUGUCAAACAUGCGAGGUGUAGAAUCACAGGAUGCAAGAGCAGAUGGGGCAACUGCAGCAGACAGGCUGGAGGACCUUGAGCUUGUUACGGCAGAGUGGUAUGCACGUGUGGCAGCUUUACAAGAUGUAUACAAUGCUUAUUAUGACCCUAAAUCAGCCAGAGAAAAGCACACACUGUUUCAACUGAGGAACCGAUUUGAUCGAAGGAUUGUAACAAUGACUCAUUCAACCCAAAUCGAGAGUUUCUGAACUUUGUGUCCUCUGGGUACCUUAUCUUGGCAGUGAUGGAGAACCUCUCAACAUCCCUGUCCAUACAGGCCCGCGAGGAUUGACUCCUGUCAGCGUCCCUGUCCAUACAGGCCCGCGAGGAGAGACUCCUGUCAGCGUCCCUGUCCAUACAGGCCCGCGAGGAGAGACUCCUAUAAGCAUCCCUGUCCAUACAGGCCCGCGAGGAGAGAUUCCUAUUGGCUCGAUCAGCUGUAGCCCACGUUAUGGCAUAAUUAUUAUUAUUUUCAAUCAAAGAAAAGGUCGCCUCUGAAGGACGAAAAUCCAAAUCUACGAAAGCAGGUCUCUCCCUCGCGGAGAUCGACACAAGGACGUCGACCAUCAAGAUUUACCGCGACAGAGCAAAGGAAGGCAUCGUCUACUUGGUUGGAAAACACCAUUACACUUACGAGCCUGUUGGCCACCAUUCGACGAAAGGACAACCCUUGUAACAAAGUCAUUGACACAUUGAACAGAAGGUCCAAACUUAGUCUGGUAACAGUGGAUGGCCACGGUAUGAAAAAACGAGUUCCCAAGGUACAUGUACCAAAAUACUAAGGAAUAUGAACAGAGGGUCAACCGUCAGCAACAACUGGGUCCGACGUGGUUGGAAGGAGUGUGGGGUAUCCCUGAAACACGCAAACCAGCGGUUUGUGGAGCCGGAAAAUGUUCGGAAGGAACGAAUAAUCGAAUUCUUGGAACAUUAUCCAUGUCAGGAUGUACUUUGAGAAAACAAUGAAGGUAAAAGAUGUCAACAUCAUCACCAGGGACCAAAUGCCUCUCCACCGCAAUGUAACAGCCGCACAGUAAACGUUGACAUUAAAGGAAUGUCCCACCUACGUUAAAGAAAACUACAUCCUGUCAAGGGAGAGAGUGUCCAUCUUUACUCAAGCCUACAGCAAGACUGGCCUGACGAUGCGCCCACAGUUUGUGUUCAAGGGAAGAGCACAAUUCUCCAGGGUAGGCUGUAACGUCCAGGGAGUGUCUACGCACUAGAGACCUAAAGGGUCUUACAGGAUGGACACCAUGAAAACAACCAUCAAAACCCUUCCCAACUUGAAGGCCCAGAACAUAUUCAGCCCAAAAUAGUGGUCUAUCUACAUUCUGGAUUACUACUCAGUCCACGUAACAGAGGAGGUAGGGCGGGAUUUGCUGUUAGUGUUUAUGGGUGGGGCAUCCCAGGAGACGUACAAGUUAACGACACCCAACGACAUCAUAACCUCAAUGCUACAUACAGGCAGCGAGAGUCGGAGCUGAUGAUGCAGCAGCUUAGUGAUGACUCGCUGAAGAUCCUGUCUUACAAGGAUGACAUUAUGAGGAUGAUUAUUGACAGUUGGGCCUCCAUUGACAUUGGCAUCUCGGCUACAAACUCAACUGCCACGCAUUCGACCUCUUCCGCCAAUGAGCACUCCGCCCGACCCGACCCUGGCUUAUCACGUCUAGCGGAAAUGAGAGAACUGGAUAUAAGUGAGAAUGGGACUGGUGAUGUCUCUCGCCACCAUCCUCCACAUCUUCAGGAGUUGGACUUGCUAUGGACAAUGGCCGAUCACACCGUGGAUAUGACCCGCUUGCACCGUUAUCAUGAGCGACACGUGUCUGAUCUGAACAGCAUAAAUUGAGAGGCCCUUGAUGAACCAUGGUAAUAUUUGUAGGUGGGUUGGGGUCAGGACGACGAAUGUCAAGUUUUACAAUAGGUUUCUUAGCGGCUUUUUGAGCUGCAGUGGAAAUUCCGUUUUUGAUAUCUUCUAAAUCUUAUUUUCCAGGAUACUGAGCACCGCUAAGUUCACCAAGAAGACACAGAACAGUGCAACUGUCAGGGUGCCUGUAACUGUACCAUUGUAGUCUCCACUCCCAGCUCCUAUCAGUCCAGUCCGCCGGGGUUGCAAAACUACCACCUGUCAAGCACGAGCGUAUACCAGCCCAGUCCGCCAGGGUUGCAAAACUAUCACCUGUCAAGCACGAGCGUAUACCAGCCCAGUCCGCCGGGGUUGCAAAACUACCACCUGUCAAGCCCGAGCACAUACCAGCCCAGUCCGAAAGUGGCGAAAUUCCAUCUCUCCAGCCAGGCACAGUAUCAACCAGGUCCCGUCGCAGACCGUUAUGACCGUUACCUCCAUUAAUUACUGAUUUUGUUUACCCACAGUAUCACCGAUUUCCCAACUGGCAGCGCCCCUCACAAGCUUUACUUACAGAGAACUCCUGGGCACCUGCCUUGUUUCGGAGUCCUUUAUACACCUGCUUUCUCAUAAACGCGUUCUCCAUCGUCCAGACAACCAGGACGUCGUCCGGAUCCUUUCCGGUGACAGCCGAGUCCCGCAUCUAAAACAUAACGCUGUUACUAUCUACUCCUUGUGCACAAAUCACUACAUCCAUCUUUCAGCCGAAUGGAUCCGCCGAGACGAGAACGACAAGGCUGAUUAUUUAUCUAAGACCCACGAUGACUAUAAGUUGAACCCCACAGUCUUCGACAGUUCUCCUCUAGAUGGUGGAACCCACACGCACAAGCCACGGACGCAUUCACGACCACCUGGGAACGUCUCGUAGCCACAUAACGAAGUAUGUUCAGGAAUCGCUUCAGAACCGAGAAAUGGGAGUAAAGCCCUACGGGCGAUGUGUCCUCCUUGCUUAACAUUCUUUUUUUAUGCUACCCAGCUGUUCAAGUCCAGGCUAUGAGUCGCUAUUGAGGUGCUAAAAGAAGAAGAGUACGAGUUCCUCCGACAAUCAGGACAGAUCUACAUGUUGGGUGAAGAGAGCGACGAGAAAGACAAGUCCGUCAUCUGGGUGAAGCAACCUUCGUGGCCUGCACCCAGACUGACGGACAUGGUCCUGAAGUGCCAGGUAGACGGACCAAAACCGGAGAAAGGACCUGGAUUUCAGACAGCCUCCAAGAGACAGGACUUGGUGCCGAGAUCUACAACUGGACGCCUGAGACUGACGACGGCAUGGGCAAUGAAAAUGGACAGGUGCAGGAAAACGAGGAGUUCGUUGACAAUGAAGAUGGACAGGUGCAGGAUGACAACGAGUUCCGUGGUUCUGAGUCAAGUUGAUACAGCAGUGAAGAAAAAGAUGUCAGCAGCAUAAAAACACUCGUACCACUUUGUCAAUGACAAAGAAAUCAUGGUGCUCUUUGACGGAAAAGUAUGUACAAUUGAUAAGUGUGGUAAACCACUACUGAUAACUAAAAACUCGGCCAUAACGAUAAAAUACGAAUGUCCAAACGUGCCAUGUGGGAGUCCGAUCAUAAGCUCAUGUUGGGAGCAGCAUUAUGUUUGAAGGGAACGUUCUCCUCCCUGAUGCUAUCUUAUUUGCAGAACUUUCAAGACGUUUUCUGACAUUGAAAAUGCAAUGAACCUGUAGUGCUCCGGAGAAACACAUUUCUACCACGUCCAGUGGACCUACCUGCUAAAAUCUGUCUGGACUACAGAGAUGCCAGGGGACCUGCAUGCGGCAGGGAAAAGGACCGACAUGACACAGCACGAAGACACAUUGGUGAAGCUCUGGAACCGGGGCAUGAAUAACACCUCCUCAAAUGAUGCAGGAUGCUGCCAUGCUGACUGGAUUUAAAAGGAAGCAAAUCAAGGCUAGUAAUACUGUACCUAUAUUCUUUCUUUGGCACAGCUUAUCAUUGCAUUUCAGAAUGCAUAGCAGAAUUGUACUAUCGCUGCAUGUCAGUACAUGCAGGAUAGGAAGUUCAUAUUGUCAAAUGAUUACUUUUCAGGAUUGGAUAUGUAAGAGGAGACAAAAAGACAAACAUGGCAUGCAGCACACAAGACCUAAAGUAAAGCCAAAGGUAUCGAAAAGGCAGAGGUCAGGCCUUGACUGCUUCUUAAGUGACAGGAUGAAAGAACAUCUGGUCAAUACCGAGUCUGGGAACCAGGACCCACACAAACCCAUACAUAACGAAGGUCCACAAGAUCGUCAAUGAGAGGUGCAGGAAGGUUCGAUACAAUGCUGCACACCCAAAGGAGAAAGGUGAGAAAAAACUUUGCUUUUAUACUAAUCUGACUUUUUGGACAAGAGGCUAUAAUAUUGCAAGAAAUGUUCGGCAUCUUUAAAUCUAUACAACUUUAAGUUUUUGUAAACUCCCUUUUGUUUUUCUGUUUUUUUACAGGUCAUCAGUCUAUGCACUACAGCUCACAC